rnacentral:rRNA from 1 species
GACGAACGCUGGCGGCGUGCUUAACACAUGCAAGUCGAACGAAGUGGCGAACGGGUGAGUAAUGCGUAAUCAACCUGCCCUUCAGAGGGGGACAACAGUUGGAAACGACUGCUAAUACCGCAUACUGAAGGAGGGGAUUGCGUCGGAUUAGCUAGUUGGAGGGGUAAGGCCCACCAAGGCGAUGAUCAGUAGCCGGUUGGGAGGAGAAACCGGCAACAUUGGGGCUUGGACACGGCCCCACUUCCUCGGGGAGGCACCAGUGGGAAUCUUCCGCAAUGGACGAAAGUCUGACGGAGCAACGCCGCGUGAGUGAUGACGGCCUUCGGGUUGUAAAGCUCUGUUAAUCGGGACGCGGUACCGGAAUAGAAAGCCACGGCUAACUACGUGCCAGCAGCCGCGGUAAUAC